GGAUGCGAGGGCAACCUGGCUGUAAUAUCCACCACCCCAUUGAUCAUCAGGGUUGAUUUAACUGACCUGGCUGGCUAGACACGUGUGCCCUUCCUUCACUGCUCCACCCACGUCCCUACUGAAGCUGGAUGCUUAGUUUAAGAGGACUACCUUCCCCAAUAGAGGAAGGUCACCCUUUAGUCAAGGGCACACAGGUGCCUGCUCUUCCCUGAUAGAACCUUCAAAUAAGCUUUCAAAGUCACAGAAACAGUUUUGGAUGGAGGCAGGCCAGGAACUACAAUCUUAAUUCCUAGCCCUGUGGACUUUUUA
rnacentral:snRNA from 1 species